rnacentral:rRNA from 1 species
GAUGAACGCUGGCGGCGUGCCUAAUACAUGCAAGUCGAACGCUUCACUUCGGUGAAGAGUGGCGAACGGGUGAGUAAUACAUAAGUAACCUGGCAUCUACAGGGGGAUAACUGAUGGAAACGUCAGCUAAGACCGCAUAGGUGUAGAGGUCGCAUGAACUCUAUAUGAAAAGUGCUACGGGACUGGUAGAUGAUGGACUUAUGGCGCAUUAGCUGGUUGGUAGGGUAACGGCCUACCAAGGCGACGAUGCGUAGCCGACCUGAGAGGGUGACCGGCCACACUGGGACUGAGACACGGCCCAGACUCCUACGGGAGGCAGCAGUAGGGAAUUUUCGGCAAUGGGGGAAACCCUGACCGAGCAACGCCGCGUGAAGGAAGAAGUAAUUCGUUAUGUAAACUUCUGUCAUAGAGGAAGAACGGUGGAUAUAGGGAAUGAUAUCCAAGUGACGGUACUCUAUAAGA